rnacentral:rRNA from 1 species
UGAGGGAUAUUGCACAAUGGGCGAAAGCCUGAUGCAGCAACGCCGCGUGAGGGAUGACGGUUUUCGGAUUGUAAACCUCUGUCUUCGGUGACGAAUAAAUGACGGUAACCGGGGAGGAAGCCACGGCUAACUACGUGCCAGCAGCCGCGGUAAUACGUAGGUGGCGAGCGUUGUCCGGAAUUACUGGGUGUAAAGGGAGCGCAGGCGGGACAGCAAGUUGGAUGUGAAAUACCGGAGCUUAACUUCGGAGCUGCAUCCAAAACUGUUGUUCUUGAGUGGAGUAGAGGCAAGCGGAAUUCCGAGUGUAGCGGUGAAAUGCGUAGAUAUUCGGAGGAACACCAGUGGCGAAGGCGGCUUGCUGGGCUCUAACUGACGCUGAGGCUCGAAAGUGUGGGGAGCAAACAGG